GUCGGGAUAGCUCAGCUGUAG
rnacentral:tRNA from 1 species